rnacentral:lncRNA from 1 species
CUUCUUCCUCCUGUUGGUAUAUACUGUAUAUUUUAUAUAUAUGGUUGUAGCAGAGUGAAUCAACUUCCGUGAUGACGUUGGGAAAGCCAGUUGUAGGCCGUCAACAGCGCCAUGGAGCUCGGCCUGCAGGGGGAGUAAAAAUUUUAAAUAUAUGCGCACGUAGCAUCUGCUGUACUGUUAACGGCGAGAGAUUUGAGGACGAUGGGACCCACAUAAAGAUAAAGGUACCGACUUUCCGUCCCCCAAACUCACGCGGGGAUGCCACGUGACAAUCCUGUUCCGUACCGACGGUCUGACGUGUCUUUCACUCCGUCAGUCGCCCCCGACACAUCACUUGCACACGCAAGACCCA